rnacentral:rRNA from 1 species
GACGAACGCUGGCGGCGUGCUUAACACAUGCAAGUCGAACGGAAAGGCCCUGCUUUUGUGGGGUGCUCGAGUGGCGAACGGGUGAGUAACACGUGAGUAACCUGCCCUUGACUUUGGGAUAACUUCAGGAAACUGGGGCUAAUACCGGAUAGGAGCUCCUGCUGCAUGGUGGGGGUUGGAAAGUUUCGGCGGUUGGGGAUGGACUCGCGGCUUAUCAGCUUGUUGGUGGGGUAGUGGCUUACCAAGGUUUUGACGGGUAGCCGGCCUGAGAGGGUGACCGGCCACAUUGGGACGGAGAUACGGCCCAGACUCCUACGGGGGGCAGCAGUGGGGAAUAUUGCACAAUGGGCGGAAGCCUGAUGCGGCAACGCCGCGUGCGGGGUGACGGCCUUCGGGUUGUAAACCGCUUUCGCCUGUGACGAAGCGUGAGUGACGGUAAUGGGUAAAGAAGCACCGGCUAACUACGUG